GUGUCAUGAUGUCAACCCUUGAGUAUCUCCACUCCAUGAUCGUUGUCGGGUUUGACCGGAUAGGGCUCCUCUGCCUAUAUCGUUGUCCAAAUUUACUAGAUAGGGCCUCCUUCAACUCUCUCUAUUGUUGUCAAGGGGAUUUUCUAUGCUCACAGGGAUUUGUUGCUCUACUAGUCUUGGGAAUGGGUGCGAGUAGUUUUGUUUCUCUGAUAGUCUUAGGAAUGGGCACAAGUCAUUUGUAAUUUGGUUUUAGUGUUUUGUUUUCAUUUUUAUGUUUUUUUGGGGUAUAUAUAUAUAUAUAUAACCUUAUAAGUACAGUCGACUUAAAACUAGUAUGGACAAGGGGAAUCUGACUAUUUAAUUAAAACAAAGCAUUGUGGCAGUCCUUGCGGAUGCUGACGCGAUGUGAUUUAUGUCUAGUGCUCUGAAUGUCAAAGUGAAGAAAUUCAAUAGCCCACGGGGGGCAGCCCAAUUGGAAAGUUUCGUGAUAUGAAAGGUUAUGUUCGAUGAGGUUCCGAGUUCAAAUCCCCCCUAUUUACAUGUGCCUGCAGAAGGGGCAUACGUAUGGCACCUGGAGAUUAUAGUGGUAGUGGUCGGAAUUGACCCUGUGUCAUGUGAGUACGAGACCAACCCAAUUGUCGAUUCCACCAGUUACAAAAAAAAAAGUGAAGAAAUUCCAACCAAGCGUAGGUAAAUGACAGGAGUAUCUAUGACUCUCUUAAGGUAUCCAACUACCUCCUCAUCUAAUUAGUGACGCACAUGAAUGGAUUAACGAGAUUAUGGAUUAGUGAGAUUCCUAAUGUCUCUAUCUAUAUCUAGAGAAACCACAACCAAGGGAACGAGCUUGGCAGAAUCAGCGGGGAAAGAAGACCUUGUUGAGCUUGACUCUAGUCUGACUUUGUGAAAUGACUUGAGAGGUGUAGAAUAAGUGGGAGUCGUUUUCGACGCAAGUGAAAUACCACUACUUUUAACAUUAUUUUACUUAUUAUGUGGGGCGGAGAUGGGGCAUUGCCCCUGUUUUUGGCCAUAAGACAUGUUUCGACAGGCCGAUCUGGGCGGAAGACAUUGUUGGGUGGGGAGUUUGGCUGGGGCAGCACAUCUGUUAAAAGAUAACGCAUCUAUCCUAAGAUUAUCUCAACAAGAACAUAAAUCUCGUGUGGAACAAAAGGGUAAAAGCUCAUUUGAUUUGCCACCAACCUCUUGAUCCUUGUAAUUCAUUGAUGGAUAUGAAUUAAUACAUCAAUUAGAUGUUUGCAUGCAUCAACAUAGUAAUUUAAAAUACUAAUUGCCUGAGU
rfam:Picea glauca, whole genome shotgun sequence.